rnacentral:rRNA from 1 species
CCUACGGGAGGCUGCAGUGAGGAAUAUUGGUCAAUGGGCGCGAGCCUGAACCAGCCAAGUAGCGUGAAGGAUGACUGCCCUACGGGUUGUAAACUUCUUUUAUAAAGGAAUAAAGUGAGGCACGUGUGCCUUUUUGUAUGUACUUUAUGAAUAAGGAUCGGCUAACUCCGUGCCAGCAGCCGCGGUAAUACGGAGGAUCCGAGCGUUAUCCGGAUUUAUUGGGUUUAAAGGGAGCGUAGAUGGGUUGUUAAGUCAGUUGUGAAAGUUUGCGGCUCAACCGUAAAAUUGCAAUUGAUACUGGCAGUCGUUAGGACAGUUGAGGGAGGCGGAAUUCGGGGUGUAGCGGGGAAAUGCUUAGAUAUCACGAAGAACUACGAUUGCGAAGGCAGCUUACUAAACUGCCACUGACAUUGAUGCUCGAAAGUGUGGGUAUCAAACAGGAUUAGAUACCCGAGUAGUC